rnacentral:rRNA from 1 species
GACGAACGCUGGCGGCGUGCCUAAUACAUGCAAGUAGGACGCAGUUGCGAACGGGUGAGUAACGCGUAGGUAACUGCCUAUUAGUGGGGGCUAACUAUUGGAAACGAUAGCUAAUACCGCAUACUAGUAGAUGGACCUGCGUUGUAUUAGCUAGUAGGUAGGGUAAUGGCCUACCUAGGCGACGAUACAUAGUCGACCUGAAAGGGGGGACGGCCAAACAGGGGAUGGGAAACGGGCCAGACUCCUUACGGAGGGAGCAGGAGGGAAACAUGGGCAAAUGGGGGAACCCCGACCGAGGAACGGCGGCGGAGAGAAGAAGGUGUUCGGAUCGUAAAGCUCUGUUGUUAAGGGAGCGGUACUUAAACAGAAAGGGACGGCUAACUACGUGCCAGCAGCCGCGGUAAUAC